AACGUAGGAGACAAACGUUAUCCGGAGUUACUGGGCGUAAAGGGCGUGUAGGUGGUUUCGUAAGUCUGGCGUGAAAUUUUUCGGCUUAACCGGGAAAGGUCGUCGGAUACUGCGGGACUGGAGGACGGUAGAGGCGUGUGGAAUUCCGGGUGUAGUGGUGAAAUGCGCAGAUAUCAGGAGGAACACCAGAGGCGAAGGCGGCCUACUGGGCUGCACCUGACGCUGAGCCGCGAAAGCCAGGGGAGCGAACGGG
rnacentral:rRNA from 1 species